rnacentral:rRNA from 1 species
UAGGGAAUCUUCCACAAUGGACGCAAGUCUGAUGGAGCAACGCCGCGUGAGUGAAGAAGGCUUUCGGGUCGUAAAACUCUGUUAUUGAAGAAGAACGUGCGUGACAGUAACUGGUCAUGCAGUGACGGUAUUCAAUCAGAAAGUCACGGCUAACUACGUGCCAGCAGCCGCGGUAAUACGUAGGUGGCAAGCGUUGUCCGGAUUUAUUGGGCGUAAAGCGAGUGCAGGCGGUCUUUUAAGUCUGAUGUGAAAGCCUUCGGCUUAACCGAAGAAGGGCAUCGGAAACUGGGAGACUUGAGUGCAGAAGAGGAGAGUGGAACUCCAUGUGUAGCGGUGAAAUGCGUAGAUAUAUGGAAGAACACUAGUGGCGAAGGCGGCUCUCUGGUCUGUAACUGACGCUGAGGCUCGAAAGCGUGGGUAGCAAACAGGAUUAGAUACCCUG